AUGAAGGGCUGGAAGCCGAAGUUACUGCCAGCUGCGGGUAGACUUACACUGGUUAAUUCGGUGCUAAUGGCUCUCCCGAUCCAUUUCAUGACAGUUCUGCCUCUCCCAGUCUGGGCCAUCAAAAUAAUCAAUAGGAGAUGCCGUGGUUUCAUUUGGAAGGGAGAGGAGGCUAUAAGUGGAGGACACUGCUUGCUGCCGUGGGCUCAGGUGUGU
rnacentral:rRNA from 1 species